GGGAAAGUGGCUCAGUGGUAGAGUGCUUGCCUUGCAUGCAUGAGGCCCUGGGUUCAAUUCCACAGCACCACCU
rfam:Dipodomys ordii contig_16316, whole genome shotgun sequence.